rnacentral:misc_RNA from 1 species
ACUAUAUAAUAAGCACAAAUACAUUAAAUAAAGGCAUUAAAUCUAUCAUGUUUAGGCAUCUUUAGCAUUAAACAAUUUAUAGCUAAAAUAAUUAUGUAGAUAUAGUAAAAAAAAAAAACAACCUUAUUACCACCAAAAUAGCACAUAAUGAAAAGAAAUAGCAAGAAAUAACAUAUAACUCACCUUUUUGUAAGAAGUAGCUUGGAGAAGAGAGAUAUUUAAUGAUGAUCAUAGCAUAGAAAAUAAUAAGGGAGAGAUUUGCAGAAGAAAGAAGAAAUUUGGGUGAAAAUUUUGAGAGAAUAGGAAAGAAACAACAGUUGUGGAAGAGAAAAGCACACAGACAAUGAAAAGAGAGGAAAAAAAAAUUUUUGUUUCCAUGUGAUUUGUACUAGAUGCAUAAUUGAAGUAAUGGCCGUUACCAUUACAUAAUGGUAAAUAACAAUCGUUACUGUUACUUAACUAUCGUAAUGGUCAUUAUACGUUCAACUCAGGAUUUGCCUAUAAAUAAUAGGUAACGCAUAACGGGCCUUCAAAAACCUAUAAAUAAUGGCCGUUAUGUAACCAUGCUUGCGAUACGAGUGGAAUGGAUUGAAAGCAAAACUCACACGUGAAGAACUUUAAGAAGCAAAGAAAAUUAAGAAAGAGUAGAAAUCUAGUCUUCGGAAAAUAGAAUAAGAAGUCAGGGAAAGGAAAUUUUGAGGGACAAUAAAGAAUAUAAGAAGAGAAAAUUAGGGAAAAAGUGGAGGAAGUAACAUGUUUCUUUAAAUUAUAGCAGAAAGUGAAAAAUUAAAGAAGAAAAAAAAAAGAAAGAACCAGAAAUUAACA